GUCAUUAUGUUAUAAUAUUAACGUAGAAAAGUUUAUGACGGUGGCUAUCUUUGAAUCGAGGUGAUGCUUAUGAAAAUAAGUAUUAAAUCUAAGGAAGGAGAAGCCUUUUGUCCACGUCGGAAGCCUUACAAUUGAUGAUUGCCUUUGGUAGUUUUACACUAGCUUUGGUAUCAA
rnacentral:sRNA from 1 species